rnacentral:rRNA from 1 species
AUUGAACGCUGGCGGAAUGCUUUACACAUGCAAGUCGAACGGCAGCACGGGGGCAACCCUGGUGGCGAGUGGCGAACGGGUGAGUAAUACAUCGGAACGUGCCCGGUCGUGGGGGAUAACGUAGCGAAAGUUACGCUAAUACCGCAUACGAUCUGAGGAUGAAAGCGGGGGACCUUCGGGCCUCGCGCGAUCGGAGCGGCCGAUGUCAGAUUAGGUAGUUGGUGGGGUAAAGGCCUACCAAGCCGACGAUCUGUAGCUGGUCUGAGAGGACGACCAGCCACACUGGGACUGAGACACGGCCCAGACUCCUACGGGAGGCAGCAGUGGGGAAUUUUGGACAAUGGGCGCAAGCCUGAUCCAGCCAUUCCGCGUGCAGGACGAAGGCCUUCGGGUUGUAAACUGCUUUUGUAUGGAACGAAAAGGCUCUGGCUAAUACCUGGGGCUCAUGACGGUUCCGUAAGAAUAAGCACCGGCUAACUACGUG